CGCCAGACGCAAACUGCGGCGACCCUGGAGAGGCAGUCCUUUAACUGGCAUCAGCGCUGCGGCUGGAGGCGCGGGUGUCGCUCAGUUGACUGUCCAGUUCUACCUUGGUCUGUGCAGCCGCCCUAGAUCUGCGAACUCUGUGCCGCCGCUCCCUGUACCCUGUCUUGCGGCAGCAAGCGCUAAGAAUUCAUGCUACGACACUCGAUUCUGCCAGGAGAGAGCCAUGUCUUUGGCUAUGGGUGUGGGAAGAAGACAUGGCAACGUCUUGUCUUUAAAAAGAAACCAACUUAGACAAGACACAAAGCAGAACCCUCUCCCCCAUCUGAUCUGGGACUGAUCUUCCUUUGAAUACUUCUGAGUGAUCUGGAGGAGGAUGUGGACAUAGUGUAACAUCCACAUUUAUAGGUGACACCAGAUGUGAUCAGAAGCCAUGCCAUUGGUGAAGAGGUAUAUUGAGCCCCGUCUAGCCCAGUGAGGUUACUAGAAAAUUGGGAGAGACUUAAACCAACAUCCUGCACAUGGUUAUCAAAUCGUUGUGAAGUCUGAAAAUCACCUAGGAUGCCUCUAAAAACUGCAGAUUUCUGGGCAGCCAGAAACCUUGUCCUUAGUCAACACUACCACCUACCUGUCACUUACAUUGCGGUUUCCUGCCCAGUGGGUUCAUCAGCAAGCCAGAAUGAAUCUCCUCCAUCGCCAUAGAUGUCCUUGUGUGGUGGAAGCCUUGGAGACCUUUAGAAACAACUUGUCAAGUCCUCACCAUGAAUACCAUUAGAAUUGCAGUUGGAAUGGCACAGAUUAAUUUUUGAAGAGCUGUCCUCUUUAUAAUCUUCUAAUACAUGAAUGUGAAGUGCUUCCUCCAUCCUGCAAGCUUCUGGGAGCUUAGUGCCCAUUGCAUACAGGAUAUGUAUCCACUGAAGACCAUUAUGCCCUCCAAUAUAAGGCUAACUUGUGUUCUCACUACAAAAGUUUAGAAUCAGAAAGUUUCUUCUCUCUGCUGCAUUUUGAGCUGCCAGGCACUGUGCUAGAUGAUGGGGAUAUGGAGACGGACUUAGACACAGUCCCUGCCCUCAGGAGUUCUUAGUCUAGUGAGAGAGUUCGACGUGUGCACAGAUAAUUACAACAGUAUGGUAUGCUCUGCAAUGGAGGUAUGUACAAGAUACUAUGGGGUUGAGAAAAAUCAUUUGAUUUAGUUUGGAGAUGCCAGAGGUUGAAGGAAAUAAUUAGCUUAAGUGGGUUCUUAAAAGAAGUAAAGCUUGACCAGGAAGAAAACAGGGAAGGUCCUUUUAAGCAAAGUCGUGGACAUUGGAAAUAGAAUGAUGAACUGGGGGAACUACAAGUAGUUCUUGAAAUUAGGUUAGAAAUGUAGGCUGACAAUAGAUCCUUACAUAGUAUUCCAUGAAAUGCAGAUCCCAUUUUGAGUGUUUAAGUAGGAGAUGCUUUUGAUGGUCACUCUGGAAGUGCUAUAUAGUGUGUUCUGGAAGAUUUUCAGAUCUGGACAGGGAGAUUAGUUAGAAGGAUACCGUAGUAGGGUUAAGAUGAUACAUGAUCUAAGGCCAGAAGGAAUGGGAGUAGAGAAAAGGAGAUAACCUCUUAAUGAGAGGCUAUAAAAAUGUGGACAUAAUAGAACAUAAGAAAAUUAAUAGAGGGGGAAAUUAAGCCUCUCAGACUCUGGAGAAUGUGCAUUCACCUACCUCCAUCCCUGGCCUUGAUGAGAAAUCCUUUCAUGUUUUUAGAUAGGCAUCGCUAUUGAUUUCUUUUGGACCAGGGCUUAACUACCAUUUUUGCAAGUUUCUUUUUGGGAUGGCAGCUGUAUAUGAAAAGUUGAUUCUCAGACAUCUGAAUAUCUGAAUAGUUGCAGACUUCUAAUAGGAUCACUUAGUUCCUGGUCUUUCUCAUCAGUAGCAGCCCUCUCUAUCACAUGUUACCCAAAGUCAAAGUGGAGGUUUUUAUCUCUAAAACCCACUCAAGGGAAGAAAGGGCCCUCAUUGUUACUGUCUCAAUUGUUUUAUUUUGCUUAGGGGAUUUCACAGUACUUAUGGUUACACCUCUAAGCAAAAUCUAUUCACUGAUCAAAAGUCUGUACAUGUUGUGUUUAUUUCCUCUUUUUUCAAAGCAGUAUGAACAUGCCCUUUGGAAAAUGCUCCACCUAGGUUCAGAAUAGUGGCCUUGGGGAUUCAGAGAAUGGAUUUCUGAUUAGAAUGAUUAAUAGGAGACUAUAUUUGAGUAGACCUUAUGUAUUUUCAGUCGACCUUGUGUAAGUAGCCAUCACAGAAGGCAGUCAGGGAAGAAGGGUUGGGAGAGGAAGCUCUGAGCAGGACAGUAAGAGUUUGGGCCUUGGGACUUAAAUAGCCUAGACUCAGAUUUGCUCUUACAUUCACCAGUGUGGUGUCAAGCAUGGUUUUUCACCGCUCUGGAACUGUCCUUUGUCUUAUUUAAAUAGGAGUAAUAAUCAUUUUUUGCGAUGAUUUGAGGGGGUGGGUAUAAGGAUUUAAUGGGAUUACUUGUGUAAAUUGCUUUGAACAAGUCUGAAAUAUGCUAAAUGCUCUAUCAACUAUAGUUGCUGCUGAUAAUGAUGUUGACCGUGACAAGGAUUAAAAGAAGAUAGUUAACUAGAGGUGCUUAUAUUUUACAUUGUCAACAAAGCUCCUGGGGUUUGAGAAAGAAAGGAAAACUAACUGACAUGAAGGUUUUCAAUGGUAUGCUAGUAUGAAGUCAAUUCUCUGCCUUCUUUUUCUUCUCUGCCAAAUAGGUUGGAAACCAGAUGAAUUUUGUCCAUGCCCUGAUCACUAAUCUAUUGCCUUUGCUCUUAUUUCCAAAUAGAAACCUGUUGAAAAGUUGUGUUACACCUGAAUAAAGAUUAUCCUAAAAAUGUAGAAAAAUGCUUUGGAGUUGGUCAAAACUGGACUUGUAACCCGACUCAACUACUUACUAGCUGUGUGAUCUAAGGCAUGUUACUUAACCUCAUUGAACCUCAGUUUCUUUAUCUAAUAAAAUAAUUAAUUUGCAGGGUUUCUUUGAGGAUAUUAGUAAAGUGUAUGUCGUAAGCACUCUAUGAAUUAUAGCUAUCAUUGUUAGUUCUUGGGAUACUCACCAUGUGACAGAAACAACAGCAGGCCCUGGUGGCUGGGAGGACUGCAUGGAUCCAACCUCAACCUGGAGUUGUGCUCUUCUGAAGAAAUCCUACUCGGAUGGAUAUAAUACAACCUGCUAAGUGUCCUAGCACUUAUCAGGUUGUAUUAUCAUUGUCCGUGGCUAUGGCUCUCGUCUACCAGACUCUAAAUUCCUUACAGGCAAGGACAGUGCCUUAUUCAUCUUUGUAUUCGGUGCCUAAUCCCGUGCACAUUGUAGGCCUCAUUAAAUGUUUGUUGAAUGAAAAAAUGAAUCAUCAACAGACAUUAAUUGGGCGCCUGCUCUGUGAUCUCCAUGGGCUCAGCUUUUCCCUGCCAGUUGCCUACAACGUCCAAGCUGUCUUCAGUAUGCUUUCUCCUGAAGCUUCAUUACUCCUAUCUUCUAAUCCUUUUGCUGAGGACUUUUCUGUGUAGCGUAAGGAUAGCAAAUAUACUUCUUCUCAAGUACCAUCUCCAAUCGAUUGGUAUCACCUGCCUUGAUUAUGUUUUAUAAAAAGGAUUCUGAAGCCAGGUAUCAGUUCAGUGUGAAAGAGAGUUAUAACUGAUCAAUGAUGUUUGCUGAGGGUGGGAGGAGGGGGAGUAGCUGCACAAGUGCCACAUAUAUGUCAUAUUUGAUAUUAUGUUUUCCAUGAAAUACUCUGUUUCUAUGCCUGCAUUUUAGUCUUGGCUACUUGCAGACGUUGCAUGGCUGCUACUACUACUACUACUACUACUACUACUACUACUACUACUACAGUUGCUGCUGGUUGCUCCUUGGGUAGGACCAAAAUGAUCAUUGAUCAGAAACUUCAUCCUCACAGUCUGGGGUUUGCUCCUGUGGCUGGUAUUCACAGUUUCCCCUUUCAACUUUACCUCAGCUAUCCCCUUACCUACACUGACAGGUAGGCCUCCCUUUCCGUUCACCACCCAACAGGCUCAUAUUUCUUUUCUUAUUUCAUGAUUAAUUAAUCUUAUUCCAUGAGAAGCCUUCUUUCUGUUAGAAGAUGUGACAACUAGAAUACAAGUUAAACGAUUCCAUCAGGGUGCUACAGUGAGUCAUAUAAGUUUCCCCUUUACUGUGGGAGAAAAUUGCAGACUUUGGGGCAGGAAAAACUGAGAAGGGAGUCCUCGUAGAUGUGGGAGAGAAAGCUGGUAACAAAUGGAAUAAGAUCCUGAGAGGUGAUGUGGGUUGGGAGGGUGAAACCUAUGGCUCUAAAAUAUGGGUAGAGAGGAAUAAUAGCCUUGGUUGAAAAAAAUUACCUCCUCACUGGAGCAUAGGGAUAGGAUUUAGGAAGAGUACCUAAUAAGGGUGUUAAAGAUUUGUAAUUGUGGAGGUGAAUGAUGGAGAGAAAGCUGACCAGCGACAGGAUUUUGGAGACAAACCAGAGUCUAAGGAAUAUUCGGACCAAAAGGCUGGAGUUGGGCCUUUUGGUAUGUUAAAGUGAGGUACUAUUAUAUUAUAUCAACUUAUAUAUUCAGUUUAAGUGAGAAACUAGCUUGAAACUCGAUUAGAAACUCAGGAAAUUAUAAUAAAGUGGUUUUAGGCCAUUGUCACAAGUAAACUUGUUUGCCUAGGACUGACCUAUACUGUUUGAGGAGUAGACAGCUAGCGAGAGAGGGAUUACACAGAAAUGAAUUUGAAAAUCCAGACUAUAUGUAAGGCAGUUAGGUCAGAAGUGAGCUCAAAGUCUGUGAAUAAAAAGAGGACUUAAUGUGAUCAAGAUGGGUGUUGAAUGGUUGGAAAAUUGGAAUAAUAGGACCUACGAUCAGAGAGUGGAUUUUGAAACCUUGAGAUUUCAAAAUUGGAAUGGUCAAGAUACUUGCAAAGCUAGGAUGUCAGAUGGUUAGUUAUAUAAAUAUUGAAGUGACCCAGGAUUAUAGCAGAAGCAGGGCUGGGAAUGGACGCUGUGGGCCAGAUAUAAUAGGCUUCAGUGACUGAGGAAUGAUUAGAGGUUGGCUCAUGGCAGCUGUGCAGAUGCAAAAGAAGAAAGGGUGUAGUGAGAUAGUAGUGUGAGCCACAGAAGGGUGGUAGGGAUUACUAGAAGUUACAAAAAUUAUGAUUUGCAUAUUGCAUUGCAGUGUGGGCUUGCAGAAUGCCCAGCUAAAAUGAUCCCCUCCUUUAUUGAAUGAGUGCCUGCUGUAUCCUCAGCACCUUGCCCUGUGCUAAUCCAUUUACCCCUUUUGGGUCUGUCACCUAGCAGGUGUGAAAGAAUGAGCCGCAGUCCCAAGCAAGGACAGCUAGGGGAGCUGCUGGCCCUUAGAACUGAUGGAAUGCUGUGGUCAUAUCUCAGCAGACUGGUCAGCUUGAUGUGACCCAAAAAGGUUUCUUUAGGAUCAAAAUUUUCCCUGACCUUGACCUAACUUUAUUACAUGGUACAAGCUUGUGUUGGCCGUUCCAUAAUGAACUUUGGCUUCUGAGUCGCUGAGUUGAGGGGGAUGCUCGUAGUGUCCUUUAGGAAAAAACAGUCACAACACUUUAAAAACACACAUAUUGAUGAAGUAGGACAAGACUGUCUGGUUAUCUAAUUGAGCUUUUAAGAUAAAGGAUAGAUGAAAGAAAGCUCGCAUCGAUGGGGGAAAAACAAAACCACUUGGUGAAAGCCACUCUAAAGUUAGGAUACAUCCAGUUUUGUGGACAUACUGUAGAUAACAGCUGUGCCUUUGCAAAGGAGGGCUGGAGAUUGAUGCAGAGAGAUGUCCCUUAGGACUUUGAAGGCCAAGUGUAGGAGAAGAGAGUCCUAUGAACCCUGUGACAUUUCAUGUGGUCAUUGUUCUUUAGUUAUAGUCUUCAUGAGUCAAUAUUUCAAUGAAGGUUUAGAGCCACUGUGAUAGAAUGACCAGGCAGGCCCUCAGACAGCCCAUCCCCUCCUGUGGGGUCUGCUUUAUAUUUAUUUCUUAGGAGGAUCUGGUAGAAGACUUUGUGCGAGGCAGAAGAAAAGGAAGGACGUGGAGAAUGACUACCGCCUGUCUUCAUCUCAGCUUCACAAAGCAUGACUCAACAGAAGGAUCAUCUCUUGAGACUCUCCAGACCACAGGUCGCUCCUUUCACUUUCACUUGCUUGGCCCCCUCAGCUACUUUCUCUGUUCAGCAAUUGUACUGUGUGUGCAUAUAUGAACUGUCCCUUCCCAUAAAGAGUAGUCCAUUUUCACAGGGAAAAAAUACCUAAAAUAAGGUAUGAGGCUUGCUUUGUUAGGUUUCAGUAGUCAAAAAUGGUUGGAUCUCCAUUGCUAGAAUAUAGGCCACCAGGGAGGAGUUUGGGUUUCAGCAAUAAGACCCCAGCUUCAUGGACUAAAGACAGUCGAUUGACUUGAAAGUAACCCCUAUGCCUGCACUCAUAUUAUUUCUUUUUCCUUCAGCUCCUUGACUAAGAGAUCACUGAUGACAGCAAACCAAAGCCAUACUCUGUCCUUCCACUGGCACUUUUCUGGCCUCGGUAUAUGCUAUUAGGAAUCACUCUCUUUCAUUAGCACUUCCUUCUUCCAUCUCUUAAGACCCAGAGAGUCAUGAAUACUAGAAUCGGGAUCGAAUUUGUCAUACUUGCCUCUGCAGUUGGGGAAUACUAAUGUUAAUCAGCCUGAUACCCACUCCCACCUGCUAUCAUGGCAGCUACUGGAGAAGCUGUAGCCAAGGCCAGUAACCCUAUGGACCCCAGGACUUAAUCCUGAUGUCUCAGCUGAUUACAAAAUACUAGUAGGAGGGCCUACUCUUCUGCCCCCCUUCUGCACACUCCUUGCUCUCACUAACCACAUUACAUUCCCUGCCUACCCUGAUGAUUUCAGCAGGUGUUUUUUUUUUCUUUUCCUUUCCUCAGGCCAUCUGUAGCAGCCAUCAUCUGGGAGGAGCCUUGUUGUGAAAGAGUAAAUGAAGCCUCAGUGAGUGUUUGGAGUGGCACCCAUGUUUUUCUCUGGAUAUAAGGAGAGAGAAGAAGGCUGUGAAAUACCAUACAGGAGUAACAGAAAUUUGACAUUUUAGUAGAUAACCGAACCUAGAAACCUACAUUAAUGAAGGAAGCAAACCUGAGAUCUCUGAUGUUUGUGAGUGAAGAUAGGAAUGAACUCCUUAUUACCCUUAGUAAUGGAGAGAGGGGAGAAAAGUGAGGGAGGUCAUAAAAUCCUUUAUGUGGAGGAGGAGGCCCUGAGAUUUGCUUCAUAAACCAGUUUUUAAGGUGGAUUAAAGAUGAGUUGUUGCACUACUUCCAUUGCUUUUGGUGUGAGAGUCUCUGCCAAGCACUCUUCUCAGGUACAGCUGCCUUUGUGAAGAUUUCUGUUGUGACCCCUAUUGAGAAACAACCCAGAACAAGGUUUGCAACUUAGAAAUCUCUGGAUCAGUGACAGAGUUUUAAAGGAGUUGAGGACAGAGGACAUAGCACAAAUAGUAUCAAAUAGCUCGGAUUUUUUCAUCUAGGAUGGAUGGGGUAGGGGCAGAGGGCACAGUGGUUCUAGGCAACUCCAAACACCUGGUAAGGCAGCUGUAAGGAAACAGUACAAUGAAAGAUCAACCCUUAGACCUAUUAUUUGUCAAUCCCUAGAGCAUGAUAGAAUACCUAACAAGAAGAGCUGCUUUGGAGACAAGUCAUAAAAGAUUCUUUCAUAGAAGAGAUUUAGAAGAGGGGAACUUGGGACUCCUGGGUGGCUCAGCAGUUGAGCAUCUACCUUCGGCUCAGGGCGUGAUCCUAGAGUUCUGGGAUCGAGUCCCACAUCAGGCUCCCUGCGAGGAGCCUGCUUCUCCCUCUCCCUAUGUCUCUGCCUUCUCUGUGUCUCUCAUGAAUAAAUCUUUUUUUUAAAAAAAGGGGAACUUCCAGUUAUGUCAUAUGGGCAUUACAGCUUUUAUUAUUAUUAUUUAUUUAUGAUAGUCAUACAGAGAGAGAGAGAGAGAGAGAGAGGCAGAGACACAGGCAGAGGGAGAAGCAGGCUCCAUGCACCGGGAGCCCGACGUGGGAUUCGAUCCCGGGUCUCCAGGAUCGCGCCCUGGGCCAAAGGCAGGCGCCAAACCACUGCGCCACCCAGGGAUCCCCAUUACAGCUUUUAAAAGCAUCUGUUCCCUAUAUAGGUCAUGGAGAUUGACACUAUUCUCAGCUUGUGUGCUGACUAGGCCAGUAUUAACAUAGAAGUUUCAUGUUCUUGGAGAGAUACUGCCACUCUCUUGCUUUGACAGGUGUUCAUCUGUAGUAUGAGUCCAGUACUUGAAGGAACAAGAGGACAACAAGCAUCCAGGGGACAACAGUGUGGUCUUCUAAGUAAAGAUGGCAACAGAAAAGAUCAUGGACUUGGCUAGAUUGGGCUGGGCUUGUUUGUUGUUUCAGAAUUUUAAAAAUACUUAUUUUCUUGAUGAUAAAAGUAACAUGAUCAUUGUUGAAAAAUCAGAGGUGUAAAUUAAAAAAUAAAGAACACCUAUAAUCUUAUAAUCUAGAAAACAACUCAGCAUUUGAGUAUGUUUCCUUUUAAGUUUUUAUUUUAAUUCCAGUUCGUAUACAGUGUUAUAUUAGUUUUAGGUGUAUAAUUUUAAAGCAAAAUUGACAUCAUACUGUGUAUGUUGUUCUCCAUCUUUUUUCAUUUGAAAAUCAACAGUGUAUUUCCAUGUCAUUAGCAUCCUUUGAAAACACAGUAUUAAGUGUUACAUAAUAUUUCAUAUGGAUCUAACAAAAUUUAGGUAGAUGAUUACAUGCUCCUGGACAUUUUGCAUAUUACCAAUUUUGCCUAUAAAAUGUAAUAAACAUUGUACAUUAAUCAUUAUGUACAUUCUUAAUUAUUUCUUUGCAGUAAAUUUCUAGAACUGGAAUUACUGAGUUUCAGUGAUGAGACCAUUAUUUGGGCAUCUGAAAGAUGUUGAAUUGUCCCCAAUAUAGUUGUACAAAUUAUAUUCCCAUCAGUGGUGUAUAAAUGUGUGUAUUUCUCUACACAUUCAUCAAAAUAUGACCUUUCUCUCUCUUCAUAAAUCUCUGCUCAUUGAAUAGGUAAAAAUAUAUAUCUGUUCUAUUAGAGAUUUUUAUUUGUAAUUUACAUACAGUAAAAUUCAGCCCUGAUUCAUAGUCCUAUGGUUAUUUUUUUUUAAGAUUUUACUUUUUUGAGAGCACACAGGAGCAAUGGGGAGAGGCAAAGGGAAAAGCAUACUCUCCACCGGGCAGGGGAUGGGGUGAGAGAGGCUGGCUCCAUCCCAGGACCCUUAGAUCAUGACCUGAACUGAAGACCUAUGCUUAACCCAUUGAGCCACCCAAGCACCCCAUUUCUAUGGGUUUUGACAAGUAUAAUCAUGUAUAUAUACUACUUUAGUAUCAUUCAAAAACAGUUUUAUUACUAAUACUUUCUCUCAAUUUUUCUUUUUGUUGUAAACCUCUUUCCCCUUUACCAGUCCCUGAAAACCACUGAUUUGUUUUCCAUCCCUAUGGUUUUUCCCUUUCCAGAGGUCAUAUGAUUGGAAUCAUGCAAUAUGUAGAUAUUUUGGUCUGGUUUCUUUCACUUAGUGAAAUGCAUUUAAGAUCCAUCCAUGUUAUGAGAAUUAUUAGUUUAUUCCUUUUUAUUGUUAUAUUUCAUUGCAUGAAUGUACCACAGUUUUUUAUCCAUUCACUAAUUGAUGGACAUGUGAGAUGUUUCCAGUUUGGGCAAUUAUGAAUAAAAUUUCUAUAAACUUA